AGAGUUUGAUCCUGGCUCAGGAUGAACGCUGGCGGCGUGCCUAACACAUGCAAGUCGAACGAGGAGCUAACUUCUGAUUCCUUCCGGAUGAUGAGGUUGGCAGAGAGUGGCGAACGGGUGAGUAACCCGUGGGUAAUCUACCCUGUAAGUUGGGGAUAACCCUCCGAAAGGAGGGCUAAUACCGCAUUAUAUCUUUAUCCCAAAGGAGGUAAAGAUUAAAGAUGGCCUCUAUACUAUGCUAUCACUUCAGGAUGAGCCCGCGUCCUAUUAGUUAGUUGGUUGGGUAAUGGCCUACCAAGACUACAAUUGGUAGCCGGUCUGAGAGGAUGUACGGCCACACUGGGAAUGAGAUACGGCCCAGACUCCUACCGGAGGCAGCAGUUGGGAAUAUUGGGCAAUGGGGGAAACCCUGACGCAGCGACGCCGCGUGGAUGAUGAAGGCCCUUGGGUUGUAAAAUCCUGUUCUGGGGGAAGAAAGCUUAAGAGUCCAAUAAACCUUUAAGCUUGACGGUAACCCAAGAGAAAGCUCCGGCUAAUUAUGUGCAAGCAGCCGCGGUAAUACAUUAGGAGCAAGCGUUAUCCGGAAUUAUUGGGCGUAAAGAGCUCGUAGGCGGUCUUAAAAGUCAGGUGUGAAAUUAUCAGCCUCAACCUGAUAAGGUCAUCUGGAACUUUAAGACUUGAGGUUAGAAGAGGGAAGUGGAAUUCCCGGUGUAGCGGUGAAAUGCGUAGAUAUCGGAAGGAACACCAGUGGCGAAGGCGGCCUUCUGGUC
rnacentral:rRNA from 1 species